rnacentral:rRNA from 1 species
CUUUACUGUAGCUUUGCAUUGGACUUUGAACCGAUCUGUGUAGGAUAGGUGGGAGGCUUUGAAACCGGGACGCUAGUUUCGGUGGAGCCGUCCUUGAAAUACCACCCUGGUUUGUUUGAGGUUCUAACCUUGGCCCGUGAAUCCGGGUCGGGGACAGUGCAUGGUAGGCAGUUUGACUGGGGCGGUCUCCUCCCAAAGUGUAACGGAGGAGUUCGAAGGUACGCUUGGUACGGUCGGACAUCGUACCUAAAGUGCAAUGGCAAAAGCGUGCUUAACUGCGAGACCGACAAGUCGAGCAGGUGCGAAAGCAGGACAUAGUGAUCCGGUGGUUCUGUAUGGAAGGGCCAUCGCUCAACGGAUAAAAGGUA